rnacentral:tRNA from 1 species
GCCACCUUAGCUCAGCGGUAGAGCGGAGCUUUCGUAAAGCUCAGGUCGUGGGUUCAAAUCCCACAGGUGGCU